CACGUAGGGUGCGAGCGUUGUCCGGAAUUAUUGGGCGUAAAGAGCUCGUAGGCGGUGUGUCGCGUCGGCCGUGAAAACCUGCAGCUUAACUGUGGGCGUGCGGUCGAUACGGGCAUCACUGGAGUUCGGCAGGGGAGACUGGAAUUCCUGGUGUAGCGGUGAAAUGCGCAGAUAUCAGGAAGAACACCCGUGGCUAAGGCGGCUCUCUAGUACGGUACUGACGCUGAGACGCGAAAGCGUGGGGAGCGAACAGG
rnacentral:rRNA from 1 species